rnacentral:rRNA from 1 species
UAGGGAAUCUUCCGCAAUGGACGCAAGUCUGACGGAGCAACGCCGCGUGAGUGAAGAAGGAUUUCGGUUCGUAAAACUCUGUUGUUAGAGAAGAACAGCGCAUAGAGUAACUGUUAUGCGUGUGACGGUAUCUAACCAGAAAGCCACGGCUAACUACGUGCCAGCAGCCGCGGUAAUACGUAGGUGGCAAGCGUUGUCCGGAUUUAUUGGGCGUAAAGCGAGCGCAGGCGGUCAAUUAAGUCUGAUGUGAAAGCCCCCGGCUCAACCGGGGAGGGUCAUUGGAAACUGGUUGAAUUGAGUGCAGAAGAGGAGAGUGGAAAUCAAUGUGUAGCGGUGAAAUGCGUAGAUAUAUGGAGGAACACCAGUGGCGAAGGCGACUCUCUGGUCUGUAACUGACGCUGAGGCUCGAAAGCGUGGGUAGCAAACAGG